UAAAACAUUUGAGGUUAUUCCUGAAGAAAAAUAAAGACAGUUGUAUUGCGUACUUCGUAUGGUAAACAACAUCUACGAUACAACCUUCUGAUUGCUGAAGAAAUUUUCUUAGGUAUUUAAUUAAAUCUCAAGGAAUGAUAACUAUUUUCGAAGGCAUCAUCAAAAGUGACAGGUAAACAAAGAUCAUGGGAGGUUAGACGCGCUUACGUACCUUUGCGCUUCAGCUACAUUUUUAAAGAGAUCGUAAAAGCAUUUCGUGUAAUGAUCAGGCUCGGGUAACAAUCUCUCGUGUUCGCCGGACACCAUGAUUUCCACGGAAUACUUAAGUGUUACUUAACGACCGAUCGCAGGAUAGACAUCGACUACUCGAGUCCUGCUAUACUUAUAUUACUGUUGAGACCAUCAAGAACAUAACCUUACUAAAACGGUUCUGCAAAUUAUUUUUUCAAUUUCAAUGGGGCUUCUUAAAGACAAAAAUUUCACAUGGUUAAUUCAUGAAAGUUGGUAAACAUAAUUAAACAUGACUGUGGUUAAAAAUAAUACAACCAAACAAUGAG